GGCACUAGGAGCCGACGAAGGACGCGACGAACAGCGAUAUCCCUCGGGGAGUUGUAAGUAAACUUUGAUCCGGGGAUUUCCGAAUGGGGGAACCCACCAUCCGUAAUGGGNUGGUAUCCAUAUCUGAAUACAUAGGGUNUGAGAAGGCAGACCUGGGGAACUGAAACAUCUAAGUACCCAGAGGAAGAGAAAGAAAUAUUCGAUUACCUGAGUAGCGGCGAGCGAAACGGUAACAGCCCAAACCAAGGGGCUUGCCCCUUGGGGUUGUAGGACACUCUAUACGGAGUUACAAAGAAACGAAGUAGACGAAGCGAUCUGGAAAGGUCCGCGAAACAAGGUAACAGCCCUGUAAUCGAAACUUCGUGGAUUGUAGGCUGCAACUCGCCUCGCCUACAUGAAGCCGGAAUUGCUAGUAAUC
rnacentral:ncRNA from 1 species